AUAAAUGAAUUCAAUAAUAUUCGUAUAACCCCAAUAAUAUGGUUUGGGGGUCUCUACCAGGAACCGAAAUUCCUGAUUACGAAGAAAGUACAAUACUUG
rnacentral:ncRNA from 1 species